GACGAGCAGCUCGGGGGCCGCCGCCGCCGCCGCCAUUUUGGGCUGGGAGGAGGCAGCGGAGGGACUCGCUGCGCAGUGAGAGCACCCCAUGGGGGGUGGUCCGGGCGCGGGGAGAGGCCGGGCCGAGUGGGCUGCCUGAAGUGGCGGCGCCGGGAGACGGCGGGGAGUUGGGUCGGGGGCUGGGAAGGGUGAAGGUUGGCGUCUCCCCGGCCGAGCCCAGUCCUCAAACCGUCCCGGCAGCCUCUCCGCCUCGCCUUUGAGAGCGGCCUUUUGGGGUAAUUACCGCGUAUUUCCCGGGAUCCCAGCAGAGGAGAGGCCAGUAAGACGGCUUCCCCUCUGCUGUGCUUCCACCGGGACGUGAUCCUGAGGCCGAGGUCUGCCCAAGGCCUCUCGUCACCCCCAUUCAUCCCGGGUAUGGCGGCCAGGCCCGGCGUAGCCGGACCCCCAUCUGAAGGACGAGGUGGGCGCGACGCCAGUUGGAGACCCUGGCUCGCAGGGACGGGCCGAGGUUGCAACUCUGGCCGCAUGCCCUGAGCAGUGCUAGUGAGCUGGAGGCUCCGAGGUUGCCCGGCCGGAUUGCACCCGCCUCCCCACCCCCAUACACCGUGUCCAUCCCACUUCUCAGGGCUGCGAAAAGCAACAACCCUCUAACUUCUAUAACAGCCACCAACUCCCCCUGGGACCAACUAGAUCUGGGCACGUGGAAAGCUCGAGCUUAGCGCUUGGAAAUUUCUGAGCUCUCUUGCCCUCAAGAUUUCUCCCAUCGAGCCCCGACUCUCCCAAUGGCCUGACCUCGAACGUCAGCAUCCGCUUUUGGAAACUCCUGAAGUGUGUCGCCCCACUUCAAAAUUUCACGCCAAAGGGAUGGGGUUAUGCCCUUUGAAGGGUUGGGGGAAAGAAAAUAAUUUCAGUCACUACAGUCCAGUAAUAGAAACGGAGUGGCCCAUUUCGGGUACUUCAAAAACAUCUGCUUGCAUUUUGAAAUCUGAGCCGUAACUUAGGGGCGAAGAGGCUGUGCUACAAGGGCAAAGGGAGUUAAUUCCGAUGUGAUUUUUUUUUUUUUUUUUUUUGUAAGCCUACACCAUGUCCCAUUUAAAGUCUUGUUCCACAAACUAAAAAGAGUAUUUUCUGUGCCACUGUCUCAUUGUUACUGAAGCCAUCUCUUCUGUAGAUGCAGAAAGUACUUAAGUAGAAAUGGCAGUUUUGAUCUACUUUAUGUGUUAUAUAGGAUAUAGGGGAGACCUCGAAUAAACUUACAACCUAACAUUAUAGCACUGCCAGCAUUUAAAAGGCUCUCUUACUGAACUUGUUUCUUAAAGAUUUCCAGACUACACCUUCAAAUGAUAGCUUUGUAGUUGAGCUGUCAGUUAAAAUUGUGCCCAGGUAAGGCUCUGAAGUAGGUGGUUAACUAGCCAUUGAUACCUGUGAGUACCUUGUAAUGAAUUUUACUGCUAGUUAUAGAUGGUCUUAACUCCUAGGCCCUUGCUUUAACAGUAGGACCCGGGAAAGUUUCUUCAGGGUUGAAGGACUGCCCCUUGUAUUAAUAAAAAAAACAAAGUCUUUCCA
rnacentral:lncRNA from 1 species